rnacentral:rRNA from 1 species
CCUACGGGAGGCAGCAGUGAGGACUAUUGGUCAAUGGGCGCGAGCCUGAACCAGCUAAGUAUCGUGAAGGAUGACUGCCCUACGGGUUGGACACUUCUUUUAUAAAGGCAUAAAGUGAGGCACGUGUGCCUUUUUGUAUGUACUUUAUGAAUAAGGAUCGGCUAACUCCGUGCCCGCAGCCGCGGUAAUACGGAGGAUCCGAGCGUUCUCCGGAUUUAUUGGGUUUAAAGGGAGAGUAGAUGGGUUGUUAAGUCAGUUGUGAACGUGUGCGGCUCAACCGUAAAAUUGCAAUUGCUACUGGCAGUCUGGAGGACAGGUGAGGUAGGCGGAAUUCGUGGUGUAGCGGGGAAAUGCUUAGAUAUCACGAAGAACUCCGAUUGCGAAGGCAGCUUACUAAACUGCCACUGACAUUGAUGCUCGAAAGUGUGGGUAUCAAACAGGAUUAGAUACCCCUGUAGUC